ensembl:miRNA mir24a-1 microRNA mir-24a-1
AGACUUGGGGCUGCACCCUCCCGUGCCUACUGAACUGGUAUCAGUGUUUGACCUGAAAACUGGCUCAGUUCAGCAGGAACAGGAGUGGAGCCCACUGACCU